AACUCUUAGCGGUGGAUCACUCGGCUCGUGCGUCGAUGAAGAACGCAGUAGCUGCAAGAACUAAUGUGAUUUGCAGGAUGUGAUAUAGAUAGAUCUAUAUAUAGAUAGAUCUAUCUAUCUAUAUAUAGAUAUAUAUCU
rnacentral:rRNA from 1 species